rnacentral:rRNA from 1 species
UUCCAGACUCCUACGGGAGGCAGCAGUGGGGAAUAUUGCACAAUGGGGGAAACCCUGAUGCAGCAACGCCGCGUGAGUGAAGAAGUAUUUCGGUAUGUAAAGCUCUAUCAGCAGGGAAGAAAAUGACGGUACCUGACUAAGAAGCCCCGGCUAACUACGUGCCAGCAGCCGCGGUAAUACGUAGGGGGCAAGCGUUAUCCGGAUUUACUGGGUGUAAAGGGAGCGUAGACGGCAUGGCAAGUCAGAUGUGAAAGCCCGGGGCGCAACCCCGGGACUGCAUUUGAAACUGUCAGGCUGGAGUGCAGGAGAGGGAAGUGGAAUUCCUAGUGUAGCGGUGAAAUGCGUAGAUAUUAGGAGGAACACCAGUGGCGAAGGGGGCUUACUGGACUGUAACUGACGUUGAGGCUCGAAAGCGUGGGGAGCAAACAGGAUUAGAGACCCCAGUAAU